GAUGAAGAACGUAGCGAAAUGCGAUACGUAAUGUGAAUUGCAGAAUUCAGUGAAUCAUCGAGUCUUUGAACGCACAUUGCGCCCGCCAGUAUUCUGGCGGGCAUGCCUGUUCGAGCGUCAUUACAACCCUCAGGCCCCCGGGCCUGGCGUUGGGGAUCGGCGGAGCCCCCCGUGGGCACACGCCGUCCCCCAAAUACAGUGGCGGUCCCGCCGCAGCUUCCAUCGCGUAGUAGCUAACACCUCGCGACUGGAGAGCGGCGCGGCCACGCCGUAAAACACCCAACUCUUCUGAAGUUGACCUCGAAUCAGGUAGGAAUACCCGCUGAACUUAAGCAUAUCAAUAAGCGGAGGA
rnacentral:misc_RNA from 1 species